rnacentral:rRNA from 1 species
GUAACACGUGGGCAACCUGCCCUUGAGACGGGGAUAACUCCGGGAAACCGGAGCUAAUACCGGAUAACACAUAUCUUCGCAUGAGGAUAUGUUAGAAGGUGGCUUUUAGCUACCACUCAAGGAUGGGCCCGCGGCGCAUUAGCUAGUUGGUGAGGUAACGGCUCACCAAGGCGACGAUGCGUAGCCGACCUGAGAGGGUGAUCGGCCACACUGGGACUGAGACACGGCCCAGACUCCUACGGGAGGCAGCAGUAGGGAAUCUUCCGCAAUGGACGAAAGUCUGACGGAGCAACGCCGCGUGAGUGAUGAAGGUUUUCGGAUCGUAAAGCUCUGUUGUUAGGGAAGAACAAGUACCUGUUAAAUAAGCAGGUACCUUGACGGUACCUAACCAGAAAGCCACGGCUAACUACGUGCCAGCAGCCGCGGUAAUACGUAGGUGGCAAGCGUUGUCCGGAAUUAUUGGGCGUAAAGCGCGCGCAGGCGGUUCCUUAAGUCUGAUGUGAAAGCCCACGGCUCAACCGUGGAGGGUCAUUGGACCUGGGGAACUUGAAUGCAGAAGAGGAGAGCGGAAUUCCA